rnacentral:ncRNA from 2 species
GCGACGAAACAGGGGUGCUUCGCAAGAGGCGAGCAUGGCGCAGGCCAUAUCGCGGCGAGGCUGAGAGAGUCCCUUCGCACCCGAUCCGGAUAAUACCGGCGCGGGAAGUUUCCGGAACCCGCGC